GCGUGAAUGGUGUAAUGGUAACAUGUGGUCUUCCCAUUAUUUGGAUUGGCUACGCCCCGGGUUCGAUUCCCGGUUCACGCA